rnacentral:rRNA from 1 species
CCCUUAGAUGUUCUGGGCCGCACGCGCGCUACACUGAUGCAUUCAACGAGUCUAAAACCUGCUCUGAUAGGGGUGGGUAAUCUUUUGAAUGUGCAUCGUGAUUGGGAUAGAUGAUUGCAAUUUUUCAUCUUCAACGAGGAAUGCCUAGUAAACGCAAGUCAUCAGCUUGCAUUGAUUACGUCCCUGCCCUUUGUACACACCGCCCGUCGCUCCUACCGAUUGAAUGAUCCGAUGAAUAUCAUGGAUUGAGGAUGCACGCAGGUUCGCCUGUCUUCAUCUUCGAGAAGUGAAGUAAAUCUUAUCAUUUAGAGGAAGGAGAAGUCGUAACA